UACGAACGACUCUCGGCAACGGAUAUCUCGGCUCUCGCAUCGAUGAAGAACGUAGCGAAAUGCGAUACUUGGUGUGAAUUGCAGAAUCCCGUGAACCAUCGAGUCUUUGAACGCAAGUUGCGCCCCAAGCCGUCAGGCUGAGGGCACGUCUGCCUGGGUGUCACGCAU
rnacentral:rRNA from 1 species